CUGUGGAAGGAAUCCCCAGUAGGCCCCGCGACCUGGUGGCAAUGGAUGCAGCAAUAUUCAGUUUCCAGAAUCAGCAGCUCUGGAAGCAGUGUCUUGUCCUGAUGGUGUUGGCAGGAUAUUAUCACUCAAUUCACAGAAGAGGAAAUAGAAGGAGAGAAACAUAGAGUGAUUUUCAUAUCUGGUAAGUAGCAGACACACAAUUUGAACUCAGGAUUUUUAGACUCUAAAUUUUUGAGAGAACCAAAAAAGCACAUUUAGAGAAAUUAAAAAUGCAUGGUAUAAGGGAAAAGAAAAUAGUUCAGCACGAUAAACUAUUUUUAUCAUACCCCAUUCAAAUGUAUGGAUGGGGUAUGAUAAGAACUGACAUUUGAAAGAGAAAUUAGAACUGAACUAUAAGGUUUGUAUGACAUGCUAAGUACAGUGGUUUCAUUCUGAUUAUGAGGGUGAUUCAUAAGGAAUUUAAACAUGAUUAAGACAGAUUACCACAUGUGUGUUUAGAAAGAACUCUGGGGAGACUAAGGGCUGAAUGGGAAUGAGGUGUAUGUGUAAAUCUGCAACAUGACUGGAGGCAGGGAAUACAAAUAGGAGGCUGUAGCACUGAUCCUAGUGGGAGAUAGAAGUCAAUGCCCAAGUUUCAUCUCCAGAGGGGUGAUGUGUUGGGAUCCUGUGAAUGAACGGGAUGUCUAGGAGACAGUAAACAAGCAGUAUAGAAGAGGGCCAAUAAAUUAACUCCCAGGAUAAAUACAAUUUUAAAAGACUUGGAAAAUAACCCAAAUACUCUGCACUUAGUCAUGUACGGGGAAUAGCAAGAAAAUCCAUGGUUAUGGAAGGCAAGGUGACAAAAGGUUUCAAAAGCAAUAUUCCAUUUCCAUAAGCAUCCAAGAGAACUUGAAGAGCAUUUGAUUUCCUCAAGGAUCUCUGUAGACCAACAGCUAUUACAAGCCUAGGAUCACUUGACUCUGUGUCACUUCCUCCCACCAAGGCCCUGGUCCCUCAAGAUGUUCUCCAGAAUCAUAGUCUCUGAGAGCUCAAGUGACCCUAGAGACCUCAGAGUAAAAGCCUCAGAGUCUCUACUAAGUUCUUUCUCCCUCUAACACAGCUACACUUAGGCUCUGUAAUCACUGACUUCUGUCUUCAGUCUCUCCUACCCCUGGGGAUGCUGACUAGCCAGUCUAUUAAUGAGCAGUCACAGGCUGUGACCUCAUUAAAAAGUAGCUAAUGAGGCACUCUGUUGUUCAGGGAACACAGUCUACUGAGGUUCCCAGUGGCCUAUCUUGGGGCCUAGAGGGAAAGCUUAGGUGAAUAGAAAGGAUCAUAUAUGGGAGGGAGGGCUAAUGACUCAGGCUGCAGAACCAUAGCUUCAAACAAACUCAUCUUGGCAAGCAGCCACCUUUGCAGCUCAAGUCCUGCUGGCCUGCAGGUAGACAGGAGUAGAUGUGGUCCAGAACAGCAGUGAUUUUCCUCUGAGCUGUUAGCAUGUCUGCUCUGCUGCCCUAUUUUGAUAAGGACUUCAAUUUCUGAAGAUUAAGAGGAUUUCCUUGCACUGAGUUUUGGUCUCAUAUCUCUUAACUGCUCAUUUACAGAAGUCUCUGGUCUCUGUCUUACAGCCUGUGUCCCCUUAUGGCCCAUUUGCCAUACCACAGGCAAAGUAAUUUUUCCAAAAUACAUAUCUGAUUAUUUUUUCAUGCUGAAAACGCUUAAAAUGAGUUACAGAGUUCACAAGAUAGCAUUCAAACACUUCAGCAUAGAGGACUUUCAAGAUUUGAUGCUUACUUACCUCAUCAAACUAAUCCUCCUGUUCCCAGGUCAAACUGAAGGACGGGCUGCUAUUUCUUGUGGCCCAAUAACAAGAUGCAGAUGAACUGGGGAGGAAGAGAGUUUUUAUUUCUGAAACCGGUUACAAGGAGAAAGCCUGGAAAUUAUUGCCCAACCAACUCAAAAUUUUCCAGAGCUUAUAUACUGUCUAAGCCAUAUAUCUACAUGUAAGCGUGCAUUAAUCUAAAGACAUUAAUGAUUAACUUCUUUUAAUCUAUAACUAAGGCCUGAGUCCUAAAGACCUUCUUCUGGAGCUGAAAUAAAUUUACUGAAUCUA